UGGGGAAUUUUGGACAAUGGGGGCAACCCUGAUCCAGCAAUGCCGCGUGAGUGGAGAAGGCCUUCGGGUUGUAAAGCUCUUUUGUCAGGGAAGAAACGGUAGUAGCGAAUAACUAUUACUAAUGACGGUACCUGAAGAAUAAGCACCGGCUAACUACGUGCCAGCAGCCGCGGUAAUACGUAGGGUGCAAGCGUUAAUCGGAAUUACUGGGCGUAAAGCGUGCGCAGGCGGUUGUGUAAGUCAGAUGUGAAAUCCCCGGGCUCAACCUGGGAAUUGCAUUUGAGACUGCACGGCUAGAGUGUGUCAGAGGGGGGUAGAAUUCCACGUGUAGCAGUGAAAUGCGUAGAUAUGUGGAGGAAUACCGAUGGCGAAGGCAGCCCCCUGGGAUAACACUGACGCUCAUGCACGAAAGCGUGGGGAGCAAACAGGAUUAGAUACCCCGGUAGUCCCUGAGCGGGC
rnacentral:rRNA from 1 species